UACAGAGGGGGCAAGCGUUGUUCGGAAUUACUGGGCGUAAAGGGCGCGUAGGCGGCCUUCUAAGUCGAACGUGAAAUCCCCGGGCUCAACCCGGGAACUGCGUCCGAUACUGGAGGGCUUGAAUCCGGGAGAGGGAUGCGGAAUUCCAGGUGUAGCGGUGAAAUGCGUAGAUAUCGGGAGGAACACCUAUGGCGAAGGCAGCUCGCUGGGACGUUACUGACGCUGAGACGCGAAAGCGUGGGGAGCAAACAGG
rnacentral:rRNA from 1 species